rnacentral:rRNA from 1 species
ACACAUGCAAGUCGAACGGUAACAGGGAGCUUGCUCCGCUGACGAGUGGCGAACGGGUGAGUAAUGCAUCGGAACGUACCAGUCGUGGGGGAUAACGUAGCGAAAGUUACGCUAAUACCGCAUACGUCCUGAGGGAGAAAGCGGGGGACCGUAAGGCCUCGCGCGAUUGGAGCGGCCGAUGUCGGAUUAGCUAGUUGGUAGGGUAAAGGCCUACCAAGGCGACGAUCCGUAGCGGGUCUGAGAGGAUGAUCCGCCACACUGGGACUGAGACACGGCCCAGACUCCUACGGGAGGCAGCAGUGGGGAAUCUUGCGCAAUGGGCGAAAGCCUGACGCAGCGACGCCGCGUGAGUGAUGAAGGCCUUCGGGUUGUAAAGCUCUGUGGAGGGGGACGAAUAAGGGUUGGCUAACAUCCAGCUCGAUGACGGUACCCCUUUAGCAAGCACCGGCUAACUCUGUGCCAGCAGCCGCGGUAAGACAGAGGGUGCAAACGUUGUUCGGAAUUACUGGGCGUAAAGCGCGU